rnacentral:rRNA from 1 species
GAUGAACGCUGGCGGCGUGCCUAAUACAUGCAAGUCGAGCGAACGGACGAGAAGCUUGCUUCUCUGAUGUUAGCGGCGGACGGGUGAGUAACACGUGGAUAACCUACCUAUAAGACUGGGAUAACUUCGGGAAACCGGAGCUAAUACCGGAUGAUAUUUUGAACCGCAUGGUUCAAAAGUGAAAGACGGUCUUGCUGUCACUUAUAGAUGGAUCCGCGCUGCAUUAGCUAGUUGGUAAGGUAACGGCUUACCAAGGCAACGAUGCAUAGCCGACCUGAGAGGGUGAUCGGCCACACUGGAACAGAGACACGGUCCAGACUCCGACGGGAGGCCGCAGUAGGGAAUCUUACGCAAUGGGCGAAAGCCUGACGGAGCAACGCCGCGUGAGUGAUGAAGGUCUUCGGCUCGUAAAACUCUGUUAUUAGGGAAGAACAUAUGUGUAAGUAACUGUGCACAUCUUGACGGUACCUAAUCAGAAAGCCACGGCUAACUACGUG